CCGACGAUGGAUAGGGGUUCUGAGAGGAAGGUCCCCCACAUUGGUACUGAGACACGGACCAAACUCCUACGGGACGCAGCAGUGAGGAAUAUUGGUCAAUGGGCGUAAGCCUGAACCAGCCAAGUCGCGUGAGGGAUGAAGGCUCUAUGGAUCGUAAACCUCUUUUAUAAGGGAAUAAAGUGUGGGACGUGUCCUAUUUUGUAUGUACCUUAUGAAUAAGGAUCGGCUAACUCCGUGCCAGCAGCCGCGGUAAUACGGAGGAUCCGAGCGUUAUCCGGAUUUAUUGGGUUUAAAGGGUGCGUAGGCGGCCUUUUAAGUCAGCGGUGAAAGUCUGUGGCUCAACCAUAGAAUUGCCGUUGAAACUGGGGGGCUUGAGUAUGUUUGAGGCAGGCGGAAUGCGUGGUGUAGCGGUGAAAUGCUUAGAUAUCACGCAGAACCCCGAUUGCGAAGGCAGCCUGCCAAGCCAUGACUGACGCUGAUGCACGAAAGCGUGGGGAUCAAACAGG
rnacentral:rRNA from 1 species